rnacentral:rRNA from 1 species
UACGGGGGGGGCGAAGCGUUGUUCGGAAUUACUGGGCGUAAAGGGCUCGUAGGCGGCCAACUAAGUCGGAUGUGAAAUCCCCAGGCUUAACCUGGGAACUGCAUCCGAUACUGGAUGGCUUGAAUCCGGGAGAGGGAUGCAGAAUUCCAGGUGUAGCGGUGAAAUGCGUAGAUAUCUGGAGGAAUACCGGUGGCGAAGGCGGCUCACUGGACCGGUAUUGACGCUGAGGUGCGAAAGCGUGGGGAGCAAACAGG